ensembl:lncRNA
AGAGUUGAGGAGGGAGGGACUAAACAAGAGCGGAGAGAAAGACAGGGCAAAACAUUUUGAAAAAGAGAGGGGAGGAACAGAUGGGGGGGACUGAACCAUGGAAGUGAGAGAGAGGGGGGAAGGUGGAGCCUCAUUCAGAACAGCUAGUGUGCAGAGCAGAGCAGGGAAGAACUUACGAGUAAAUAGUGCAGGAUAUUUCCAGUCUACUCCGCCUGAGGCUGGAGCCCUAGCAGCUUCAAAAGCAGACAGAGUGAUAAGUAUGAGGAACCUGUCAGUAUAGAAGCAGGACGUUCAUGGGAAGUAACAUAAAUAGUCCACAGGGAGUAACUGAAGCUUGUUAGUGGAACUACUGAGGACAGAAGAGCUUGUCUCAGCCACAACAGAGGGAUGAAGGGGAGGAGGAAGAUGAAGAGCAAGGGGAGAAGUUUGGGUUUGUCGACAGUGCUGAUGAAGAGAAAGAGCCAGCGGAUUGUAAAGACCCUGUCUCAGACUUUGUAAAAGCCAGUCAAAAAUCAAACCAGUCAUUUAAGGAGGCUACAAACCCACCACAGGACAACACACUAACACCCACUGCACACUCACAACAGCACCUCAAUGCAAUGCCCCCUGCUGGUCAGGAGGACGCUCCCUCCCAGAGACAAUACUCCACAGCCUCUCCAGGUGAAGUGUUCUUUCUAUUACAUCACAUUGUGAGUGACUCUUCUCCAAUGGUCUCAUAAGGUGCUGUCAGUUCAUGAAGUGAUUUCAUAAUAGCUUCUGACAAACAGGCAUAAAGGGAGCCAGGUUAAACCUUGUUAUAAUUGGAUAAAGAGCAGUGUUUGUUUGUUAUCAGUAUAAUAUUGACUACCUGACUCAGUCAUGCUGCCAAAAAAGCUCUGUUAAUUACACUCCCAGCUAAAGCGGAAGAUUUUAAUCUACGGAAACUUCUGCUGGACAAAAUGAAGUGACUAGUGCUUAAUUAAACGGAUUCUCACAAAGCCUACAUGUAGUACAAUAAUCCUCUAAGUGGGUUGUGGAGCGUUCCUCUGCCCCGCUGGGGAAUUCUGGGGUUGAUGAUGCUCUACAGUGAAAGCCUGUUACAUAACUAGCGGCUGGUGGAGGAGUCGGUAUCAGGCUGGGACUCAGCCCUGCAGGCAAAUGAGAGGGUUUACAUUGUCUCUAUAUAAAUUAGAUAAUAGUUUGGGCAGGGAUAUCUUUCAUAAAAGCUGCUGUACACACAGUGCCUAUAUACAGCUAAUAUUAAGAUUCUGAUGGGCUUUUCAUCAGCAAUUAUCUUUGAGACACAGAAAUUACCUUCCUAUUCAUAAAACAAGGUACAUUAAGAUAAAACAUUUGGAAUUCAACUAAGUAGGUUUCAAUAUGAGCAAAACUAACUGUUCUUCCCAUAUGGUACACAUUGCACAAGUUACAGUAAAAAGUGACAUGACGUUAGCAUUGCUUUAACAUUAUUUUCUUGGCUCUAAUGUCCCCACAGAUGUUCCAGUUAGCGACCCACGCAGGCGGUAAGAGACUCCAUGCUUUUUAAAUACUAUCACAGUAUGUGGGAAUUGGUAUUACAUCCUUAGAGACUGUGUGGUUUGGUCUCGGAAGAGGAAACAUCUGUCUUCAUUAGGUUAUCAAUAUAGUUGCAUAACACAAAAUCAGAUACAACUCUAUUUUCAUAGAGAAAGUGUGUGUCAAAGUUGAAAGGUUGGACUUCAAAGAAGGAAUUCAAAGGAGACAGCCCAUCUGUGACUGAAUCAGUAGCCUAAACAAGUAGUCUAUAGUCUGCAGGUUAUAGCAGUUGUAACGAUGUGCGCUGAGAGUCGGGAAGCAAGGUCAGGGAGUGAGUGUUUUAAUAAAAUAAACAGAACAUAAUGCAAAACAAGAACCUCGAACAAAGCACAGACAUGAAACAGAAACAAUAACGCCUGGGGAAGGAACCAAAGGGAGUGACAUUUAUAGGGAAGGUAAUCAGGGAAGUGAUGGAGUCCAGGUGAGUCUGACGACGCUCAGGUGCACGUAAAGAUGGUGUCACGUUCUGACCUCUAUUUCCUUUGUGUUGUAUUUAUUUAGUAUGGUCAGGGCGUGAGUUGGGUGGGCAGUCUAUGUUUGUUUUUCUAUGUUGUGGGGCAGUUCUAUGUUUUCGGCCUAGUAUGGUUCUCAAUCAGAGGCAGGUGUCAUUAGUUGUCUCUGAUUGAGAAUCAUACUUAGGUAGCCUGGGUUUCACUGUGUGUUUGUGGGUGAUUGUUCCUGUCUUUGUGUUUGCACCAGAUCGGGCUGUUUUGAGUUCUCACGUUUCUUGUUUUCGUUAGUUUGUUCAUGUAU